rnacentral:lncRNA from 1 species
GGGCAAGCAACAAUGGAAGCGAAAGCUCUAAGCUACAACAUACAACCAUACAUAAUAUUUGAUUACAUUUCAACCAAAUACUAGUAAACUAAAACUAUUACAUCCACUUUUCUUUUAUGCGUAAUAUCUUUUACAUCUUGAUCAUUCAACCCCAAAAUACACGAAUGUUUACAACUUUUACAUCUCUAGAUCAAUAAAAUAAAAGUUGAUACAUGAACCAAAAAGGGAAUGACUAGAUGCAAGUACUCCGGUGGCCACUAGCUAUGGCGCAAUACCCUUGCCUCAAUCCUCCACCGCCCCGCUCGCGCAAUACCCCAGAAUGCAGUUUUAGCUCUUGCUCGACUUCUCUUCGCACCGAGCAAUGCUAAAACCCUCUAAACUCUUAAAACUCACUUUUAACCCUUCCAACAUUGUUGGAAUGCUAAAUGAAACUUGUCCAACUAUUUCUCUCGACAACUUUAACCUAUUUGGGUAAAGUUCGAUAAUUGCUCUCGAGGUUUCAAUAUGUUACAUUCUCCACCCCUUAAAAUUAGUUUCGUCCGCGAAACUACUUAAUUGAAAUCUAGAUCCAUAUCUUAAUCUAGAUUUGCAAAGAGAUGGGGAUGACGCUCUCUCAUCACGUCCUCAAGCUCCCAAGUCUCUUCCCUAUCGUCAUGUUCGCUCCAAUGGACUUUAACAUACGGAAUUUCACGAUUCCGCAAUUUUCUCACCUCCCGCACUACAACAAAAACGGUCUAUAGUGACACUUUUAAAUGUAGGUACAUGUCAAAAAAGUGCUGCUAACUAAAAUUACCGACACUUUUAAAAAGUGUUGCUAUAUGUGGGGUCGCUAGGUAUAUAGUGACAGUUAAAGAGUGUCGCUAUAACCUAAAAGAGCGCUACUAAUUUACCAACACUUAUUUAAGCAUUUAGCAACCGCCGAAACUCUAUCUCGUUGGCUGCGGUGGCGGAGGAGGACGACAGUAAAGGCUCUUCAUCUAGAAUUUCAGUGGAUUGAGUGAAGAGAGAAGAAAAGAUGGUAAUUGAUUUUUCUUUUUUUUUCUUUUCUGUUUGUAAUCGGGCCAAAUGGACUGGGUGUGGUGGGUUGAGUAGAGUAAUCUUUUAUUUUUGGUUGGAUUGGGCUUUAUAUUUAGGCAUUAGUAGAUGUGUUUUUAAGUUUUAGCAUAAAUAGGACACUUACUCAAAAGUGUCCCAAACAUGUGUCGCUAUAACCUAAUUCUGUUGUAGUGCCGAUCAAUAAUAUACGCCGCGAACUCCUCGUAAGUCAUAUCCUCUUGAAGUUCCAUCGGCACAUACGAGAGAAUAUACUCCAGAUCAUGAACAUACUUGUGGAGAUUGGACACGUGAAAUACAUCGUGCACUCCCGCAAGUCUCGGUGGUAAUGCAAGCUUGUACGCCACCGCGCCGACCCGUUCCAAUAUUUCAUACGGCCCAACAUACCGGGGACUUAACUUUCCUCGGACUCCAAACCGUUUUACUCAUCGCAUCGGUGAUACCUUCAAGAAUACACGGUCUCCAACCGCAAACUCUAUAUCUUUUUUUCGCUUGUUGGCAUAACUCUUGUGCCGAGAUUGCGCCGUCGCAAGUCUUUGUCGGGCAAGACGAACUUUCUCCUCCGCCUCCCGAACCACAUCGGGGCUAAGAGCAACUCUCUCGCCCACAUCGCUCCAAUGAAUCGGCAAGCGACAUUUCCUUCCAUAAAGGGCCUCGAAUGGCGCCAUCGUGAUGCUUUCCUGAUAGCUAUUAUUAUACUCGAAUUUCGCCAUUGGUAAAUGAUCGUGCCAUCCGCCCUUAUAGUCAAGUACACACGCUCGAAGCAUAUCCUUAAGUAUUUGAAUAGUCCUCUCCAAUUGACCGUCACUCUGAGGAUGAAAUGUCGUACUAAAGUAGAGCCGUGUGCCCAAAGCAUCUUGUAAGCUCCUCCAAAAAUGUGAUGUGAAUCUCAGGUCCCGAUCCGACACAAUUGACACCAGAACCCCGUGAAGUCUCACAACCUCGUCGAGAUAUACUUGAGCUAGCUUGUCUCCUGAUCAAGUAGUGAGGAUCGACAAAAAGUGUGUCGAUUUUGUCAACCGGUCCACAACUACCCAAAUCGUAUCAUGUCCACCUUAGGAUCUAGGCAAACCGGUCACAAAGUCCAUUGCGAUAUUUUUCCAUUUCCAAACGAGUAUUGAUAGGCUUUGCAAUUUCCCCGCUGGAAACCAUCAUUCCGCCUUUACUUGUUGGCACGUGAGACAUUGUGCCACGAGCUCCCCUUUGUCCUUCUUCAUGCCCGGCCACCAAUAAUGUAGCUUCAAAUCUUGAUACAUUUUAGUGCCGCCCGGGUGAAUGCUAUAGGGAGAUUGAUGCGCUUCGUGCAUAAUCACCCCCCGAAGAUCAUUGUCCUUGGGCACACACCAAUGAUUUCUGAAUCGUAGUGCGCCAUCAGUCCCAAUGCCAAAUUCAUCAGCACUACAGCUCUCCACUUUACCCCGCACCUUUUGGAGAUAUUCAUCGAAAACUUGCAAUUCUUUAAUUUUCUCCAAUAAGGUUGGUUGCACAAUCAAUGUGGCGAGUGUUGCCGGCACUCCCAUAGCCACAACCUCAAGACCAAACCAUUGCAUCUCCUUUUGUAAUGCCGGUUGGAGUGUAAUUGCCGUCGCCAAAUUCUCUGCCGACUUUCUACUUAGAGUAUCGGCCACGACAUUAGCCUUCCCGGGGUGGUAUAGAAUAGUGACAUCAUAGUCCUUUAGCAACUCCAACCACCGCCGUUGUCGCAUAUUUAAUUCUUUUUGGGUGAACAAGUAUUUGAGACUCUUGUGAUCGGUGUAGAUCUCACAAUGCUCACCAUACAAGUAAUGCCUCCACAAUUUUAGCGCGAAGAUAACCGCCGCUAGCUCAAGGUUCUGAAUCGGGUAGUUUUUUUCAUAACUCUUUAAUUGGCGCGAAGCAUAUGCUAUAACUUGACAAUUUUGCAUCAAAACACACCCGAGACCAAUAUAAAAAGCAUAACUGUACACUACAUAGCUCUCCCCCGGAGUCAGUAGAGCAAACACCGGGGUCGACGUUGUCACGUCCCGGGACCGGCAGAGGCCCUCCCGGUAGCGUGCCCAGACCCGCCAUAUGUCAACACAUAUAAGGUGUCUACAUCAACAGCGAAAAAUAAACCAAAGAUAAAUAACAUCUAGAGAUAUCAGAGCACAAAUAGAGCUAUCAUCUACAACAAGGUAAAAGAGAUAUACUAAAGCAAUAAAAGUGAAAUAUAUAGUUAAACAAUAUCAGUCCAAAAAGGUACACAAAAGGGUGGUCUCUAGUACACUGGUACAGCUCUCAAUCUCUCCAAAAUAAAAACAUCGAGAGGUAAACAACCUAUCAAGUCGUCCCUCACAGAAGAGCUAGCUCGAAGCAACGCCCUUCCCGCGGUCCCUAGCCUCUCCCGGCGUGGAAGGUUCUGAAAGAAAAUAUAAAACAGAGGGCGUGAGAACUAUAAUUUAUAGUUCCCAGUGGGCAAUUACUGACCUCAGCUCAAUGCACCACUAGGCCCCAAAGAAAAGGUAAGUAAAAAAAAAGAGCAAUAAUAAUGAAUAAUUUGCAUUUAAGAAGGCAUAAUUAAAACACUAAGAUACUACAUUGUCUCAAUUAAGAUGCGCCUUUAAUUCAUAAUGAACAAGUAUGUCCCUACAUGACCACAAGUAACAAUCAUAAUUUGUUUUAUGAAUUUAUGAAGAUCAUGCUUUACUAUAGUAAACAAUGUUUACAUGAAUGCAAUGAACAACAUCUCCUAGCAUGCUACAUGUAUGUAUGUAUACUCAAGUGUCCAACACUAUGCUAGAAGCAAAUCUAAGUAAUCCAACUACUACUCUCUUUCUAGUAGUGAUCAUAACACACUCAAUACUGUGUCGAUUUCCAUUUUCAAUUAAGGACCUACCCAAGGUAGUCCAGCUUGCGCCGCCUAAGUGCCUGUGGUAGCCCAACAUUCCUACUCUUGAAAUGUGUCUGUCCCACUCGACCCCGUAGGCUUCUCAAUACCGCACGAGCGAACAUAGGUCGCGUAGGCUAACUCCGGAGUGCCGACUUGUAGGGAGCGACCCUCACAAGUAUGUGCGAAUGAGCACAAUUGGCAAGCAAGCAUAGUCAAAGGCACAAAUAUCCAACCCUCAUGUCUCAAACAUGGCAAUAGCUACCAGUAACCUAACGGUCUAGCUCUAUAUCACAAUGUGAUAUCCCAACACUCACUUGCUUAGUGCCUCUUUUUGACACUUAUGCAUCACAACUAAUCAAGCCCAAUUCAUAUUCUAUGUUCCAAGCCUCUCUAGGCUUCCAAAGUCCCUAAUGUCACAAUUGGGCAAAAAGGUUAAAUGCAUAAAAGCAAUAUUCAUUUUCAUAAUAGGAAUCAUGGUUCCAAGUCUCGACUAGAAUGCUAUAUCUCACAUGCAUGCACUCUACCACAUAGAGGUCCAAAAAUUUACUAUACAUUAUAUAGGCAUGUUAAGCAUUCUAAAUUCAUAAUAAAUAUAUCUAAUAUGAUUACGCAUGUUUUAUCAUUUAACGAUACUCAAUUCAUCACAAAUAAGAUUUUCUCAUUGUGUGGCUAGGUCAAACCCACCGAACCGUCGCGUAGUCCUUCGUUUCGCCGAACGGAGUUGUCCACGCAUCUUAAAAUACCCUAAAAGUAUUGAGCGAAGAGAUACACGGGCAUUACGAUCAACUAUGAGAUCAAUAAUUAACCAACAAGUCAAAAGGGCUAAAAUCUCACCUAGAGUGGAGAAAACUCUCAUAAGCUCCAAAAGAAGGCUAGAAUCCUUCCAAUCCAACCCAAAAGAGGGUUCUAAUCCAAAUAAUUUAGCCCCAAAAGCCCUAGAUCAAAAAUGCCCAAAAUAAGCCCUAGGUUCCCAAUCUAGGGUUUCAUCUCAAAACCAUCAAUAAAAUUCCAAUCUAGAGGGAGAGAACAAGUUGCUUACCUCUUAGAAGCUUCAAUCUAGGCUCUAAGUCCUCUAACAUCAAAGAUCUUCCCUCAACAAGGCCCCAAAUCCAAGCUUCAAGCUUCAACAAUGGUGAAGUUGCACCAAAGAGCAAAAAGAGAAGUUUAAUCUCUUAAAAUCACACCAAAAUCCAAGAAUAAUCAAAGGAAAAUCAAGGAGGGCUCCCUUACCUCUAUUCCUGCUGUGGCAAGCUCAGGAGAAAGCCCUAGGGGCGUGGGUGCUAAUAUAGAGAAUCCACAAUGCAAAAACACCCCUGCAGUUUUGACCAUUCAAAAUCUGUCACUGCUUACCGGUACACGAGCCCACGUACUGGUACACAUCCUACGAAAUAGCCAUACCCGAGCCUCGGGUUGGCUGAGAAGCAGCCAAUAUUGAUGGCUGUACCGGUACAACCAUCACCUCAUACCGGUACACUGCCCUCUGAAGGCUACCCGAGAGCUAACCAAAAAUCCGAUUUUUCGGGUUUUGGUGCUAGGCUUUAAACCUCACUUCUCGGGGUUCGAACCAUAGGUCGGAACACUGUCAACGACCCACCAGAAAGUCUGGAAAAGCUCAGAACACAUCCAAUCACUCGAACCGCGCAAUUUGCAAAGGUCCAGUGUGCUACAUUCACCCCUCCUAAAAAGGAGUUUCUUCCGCGAAACUCAAAAGUAAAGUACCUCAAGCCUUCAUCUGAAAAUGAUGGGGAUAGCGCUCCCGCGGUGCACUCUCCAACUCCCAAGUGGCCUCGCGCUCGUCGUGGUUGCUCCAAAGCACCUUCACGUAAGGAAUCUCACGGUUUCGCAAUCUCUUCACCUCGUGAGCCAAAAUGCUCAAAGGUUGCUCCUCAAAGGUUGCUCCUCAAAGUUCAAAUCAUUCCUCAGCUCCAAAGGUGUGGCGUCCAACACGUAAGCCGGAUCAUGUAUGUACUUCCGAAGGACCGAUACAUGAAAGACAUUGUGUACACCCGAUAGGUUUGGCGGUAGAGCAAGUCGAUACGCUACCGGGCCUACACGCUCCAAAACCUCAUACGGUCCAAUGAAUCGGGGGCUCAACUUACCCCGAAUUCCAAAUCUCCUAAUCCCUCUUGUCGGCGAGACUUUCAAGAAGACAUGAUCUCCAAUCUGAAACUCCAAGUCUCGUCGACGCUUAUCAGCAUAACUCUUUUGCCUACUCUGGGCUGUCAACAGUCGCUCCCUAGCAAUGCGAACCUUGUCCUCUGCUUUCUCGAGCACAUCUAGGCCUAAAGCUAAUCUCUCGCCAACUUCACUCCAAUGAAAUUGCGAUCCACACUUCCGUCCAUAAAGUGCCUCAAAUGGUGCCAUCUUGAUGCUUGCUUGAUAACUGUUGUUAUAAGCAAACUCUGCCAUUGGUAGAUACUGCGACCAUCCUCCCUGGAAGUCGAUCAUAGAGGCUCGAAGCAUGUCCUCAAGUCUCUGUAUAGUACGCUCUGACUGCCCAUCACUCUGAGGGUGGAAAGCUGUACUGAAGUCCAAGCGCGUGCCCAAGGCAUCUUGUAAACUCCUCCAAAAGUGAAAUACAAAACGGGGGUCUCGAUCUGAUACUAUAGAAGUAGGUACCCCGUGCAAUCGCACAAUCUCAUCUAAAUAUACCUGUACGAGUCUCUCACCAGUCCAAGUAGUGUGGAUAGAUAUGAAAUGUACCGAUUUUGUCAAUCUAUAUAUAUCCACGAUCACCCAAAUAGCAUCAUACCCGGCAUGCGAGCGGGGCAAACCCAUCACAAAGUCCAUGGUGAUCUUUUCCCAUUUCCACACUGGAAUCGGUAAGCUCUGCAAUUUCCCUGCGGGGACUCGGUGCUCAGCUUUAACCUGUUGGCAAGUUAAACAUCUAGCAACAAACUCACCAACGUCUUUCUUCAUCCCGGGCCACCAAUAAAUCAAUUUCAAGUCCUUGUACAUCUUGGUGCCUCCCGGAUGUACAGCAUACGGUGCUCGGUGUGCCUCUUGAAGAAUUUCUUCUUUAAUGUCCAAAUUCGCCGGUAUACAAAUCCGUCCGCGGAAACACAUCAAUCCCACACCGUCCACAGAGAAGUCACCGGUGCAACCAUUCAUCAUUUUAGCUCGGAUCCUUUGCAACUUCACGUCGGAGACUUGCUUUUCUUUAAUCCUUUCGACAAGUGUAGGUUGCACCACCAAAGUCAUCAGUCUCAAAGGUGUAUCAGGAGCCACUACCUCCAACUCCAACCGCUUCAUCUCCUCGAUCAACGGCGGUUGAGUAACCACAAGCAUCGCUAUGUUAUUCGUCGAUUUCCUACUUAGCGCAUCUGCCACCACGUUAGCCUUGCCUGGGUGGUAAAGAAUAGUCAAGUCAUAAUCCUUGAGCAGCUCCAACCAUCUGCGCUGUCUCAAGUUCAACUCCUUCAGUGAAUAAAUACUUUAAGCUUUUGUGAUCCGUAUACACUUCACACCGCUCGCCGUAGAGAUAAUGGCGCCAUAACUUCAAUGCAGAGACCACGACCGCCAAUUCCAAGUCAUGAGUAGGAUAGUUCCUUUCAUAAUCCUUUAGUUGGCGAGAAGCAUACGCGAUCACCUUCCCGUCCUGCAUCAACACACAUCCCAAUCCAUUAAAGGAAGCAUCGCUAUAAAUCACAUACCCUGCUCCAGUAACUGGCAAGGUUAGGAUUGGGGCGGUCGUCAAUCUCUGCUUCAACUCUUGGAAGCUUCUUUCACACGCAUCAUUCCAAAUGAACUUGGUGCCCUUAUGCAUGAGCCUCGUGAGGGGAGUAGAUAAUCUUGCAAAUCCCUCAACAAAUCGUCGGUAGUAGCCGGCCAAACUAAGAAAGCUCCGAAUAUCCGUGACACUCGUCGGCCUUGGUCAAUCCUCGAUAGCUUCAACUUUUCACGGGUCCACGGCUAUGCCUGAUCCUGAAAUCACAUGGCCCAAAAAUGCUACCUCUCUAAGCCAAAAUUCACACUUUUUUAACUUGGCGUAGAGCUUCUUUUCCCGAAGUACUUGAAGUAUAAGCCUUAAAUGCUCCUCGUGAUCCGCAUUACUCCGGGAAUACACUAAGAUGUCGUCGAUGAAUACCACGGCAAACCCGUCUAGAUAAGGCUUAAACACACGGUUCAUAAGAUCCAUAAAAGCUGCCGGGAUAUUAGUAAGCCCGAAUGGCAUCACAGUAAACUCAUAAUGUCCAUACCGUGUUCUAAAAGCCGUCUUUGACACAUCCUCGGGCUUGAUCUUUAGCUGGUGAUAUCCCGACUGCAGGUCGAUCUUGGAAUACACACUAGAUCCCUGUAACUGAUCAAAUAGAUCGUCGAUCCUCAGUAAUGGAUACUUAUUCUUAAUCAUGACUUUGUUAAGUUCAUGAUAGUCCACGCAUAAGCGAAGUGAUCCAUCCUUUUUCUUGACAAACAGGACCGGUGCUCCCCAAGGUGACACACUCGGUCGCACAAAACCCUUAUCCAAAAGAUCUUGCAACUGUGCAUUCAGCUCUCUCAAUUCUGCUGGUGCCAUCCUAUAGAGCGCCUUUGAGAUUGGAGUAGUCCCAGGAACGAGAUCUACUACAAACUCAAUCUCCCUAUCAGGUGGCAUGCCUGGAAGCUCAGCCGGAAACACAUCUCCAAACUCCCGCACUACGGGGAUAUCCUCAAUCCUGGGGGCAUCGUCAUCACCCCUCAACACAACAGUAGCCAAGUAGGCCACACAGCCUCUACUAAUCAACUGCCUAGCUCACGAGGAGCUAAUCGUCAUCGCAAACAGCGAACUCUAGCAUCCUCGGUACACAACCUCCGCCUGCCCCGGCUCUCUAAAUGUCACAGUUCGAUCCUUGCAAUCGAUAGUGGCGUAGUACUUAGUCAACCAAUCCAUGCCCAAGACAACAUCAAACUCCCCGAGUUUAUGCAAAGCUAAAAGGUCUACGGGCAUAAUCCAAUCUCCAACCCGAACAGGGCAACUGGGGCAGUACUCCCGAAUAUCUAACGAAUGAUCGGGCACAACAACUCAUCCAGGAUGCAACAAAGAUGUCAGUGGGAUGCCAUGCAACUCGGCAAACAAUCGGUCUUUGAAUGAAUGCGAUGCACCGGUAUCAAACAAUGCUCGUACUCGAAUACCAUAAAGUAAAAUAAUACCUGCGACCACAUUCUCGACUACUGCCGCCUCCUCAGUUUGAGCCGCGUACAUGCGCCCGCUCGGGGCCUGUCGUGACCCCUCCAUCAGCUGCUGGAUAGGUGGCCGCCCGGCCUGGUGAGUUGCAGGAAGUGUCCCCUGGCUGGGACUCGGUGAAGAUGGCACUGAUGCCGAUGAUGGCGCUGGCGCUGAACCCCUCGGGCAGUCCAACUGGAAGUGGCCCUCCUGGCCACACAGAAAGCACCUGCCCCGACUGCGUGAACACUGCCGUGGAAAAUGGGGAACACAGCAGAUCACGCAGUGCGGAGCCUGGCGUCCAUCAGGUCCUCCUCGCUGAGUAGACUGGCCACAUCCUCGCGACUGGCUUCGGCUCCUGGGAUGCCUCGGCGGCCUCCGUGAGUGCGUCUGACUCGCACCCUUAACCGCUGGCCUCUUACUCUGGCCCUUGUCUAGGGCCUCGCGUCGCUCCUGAAGGUCUGCCGCUUCAGCCUCCACAAUGAGUGCACGGUCCACAACCUCCCGGUAGGUUUGGAGGUUGGAGGACUGCACCAACCGAAAGAUCGAAGGCCGCAACCCACGAUAAAAAAUGCGGGCCUUGUCCUCGUCAUUCCGCACCAUAAAUGGUACACAGUUGAGUAGCCGAGAAAACUCCCUCUCGCACUCGGCCACUGACCGCUCCUCCUGGCGCAAGCUGCGCAAGUCCUGCUCCAUCUUCCUCUUGGCGCUGGUAGGGAAGUAGUGCGCCAGAAGCAGCUCCUUGAACCUCGCCCAUGAGAUCGCUGCCAAGUCUGUGUUGGGGUUGUCCAGGAUAUCCAACCACCAACGGUAGGCCUCGCCGUCUAAGAAGUGUGUGGCGAGCCACACUCUGUCCCUCUGCUCCACAAAGGUAUCUCGAAAUAGCUUCUCCAUAUGCAUGAGCCACUUCUCCACUAUCCAGUGGUCCACGUUCUCCCCGUCAAAGGUCCGUGGACUGCAUCGCCUGAACUCACUAAGGCACUCCAUGAGCCGAUCCCGCUCAGCUCCCUCAACCAUCGCGGCGAAAACCGCCCCCGCUACAGAUGCUCACGCCGGUGGUGCCACGAACUCCUCUCCCCGAGCCGCAAUAUCCGGUGAUGUCCUCGGAGUACCGGGCCCUGGAGAUGGCGCCCUCGGUGUCGCAAUCACUGCCGGUGCUGGUGGGGGUGUGGAUACCUGUGACUCCCUUGCAGCCGCCUGCUGCCUAAGCAAAUCCUCCAGUCGCUCCAUUCGCGCCUCCUGUCGGCGCGCCGCAUCCGCCUGCUGUCGUGCUGCCGCCGCCUGCUGUGCGACCAAAUCAGUGAGGGCCGCCAGCUGGCUUGUCAACUCACGGACCUCGCCGGAUCCGGAGGUAGCGGAGGUCUCCACCUCCUCAAAGUUCGCCGCAUUGUCCGCUCCGACAGACUUAGAGCGAGUCGUCGGCAUUGUCACUACAACAUCAUAAAAGCGGAAGUUAGUAAAACCCACGCUAUCGCAACCCCGCUCAAAUAAAUAAGUACCCAAGUCAUGCGAAACUAAGGAAGUGUCCUUCACCACUAACUCCCGAUGUUACGUUGUCGGCCGCCAACGUAACCCUCCGCGAAGUUAGAAGCCAUACACUCCGAUCAAACUCUAACUUUUUAGAGUUGUCAUAAACCCAAUCAAAAUACUUUCGCUCACGAGUCAAUUAGACCUCGUCUCUCACGAGCCUAAUUCCUAUAGUCCAACCGGCCUAAGGUUCGCUAGGUCCACUAAGACUCAACCCUAGGCUCUGAUACCAAAUUAAUCUGUCACGCCCCGGGACCGGCGGAGGCCCUCCCGGUAGCGUGCCCAGACCCGCCAUAUGUCAACACAUAUAAGGCAUCUACAUCAACAGCGGAAAAUAAACCAAAGAUAAAUAACAUCUAGAGAUAUCAGAGUACAAAUAGAGCUAUCGUCUACAACAAGGUAAAAGAGAAAUACUAAAGCAAUAAAAGUGAAACAUAUAGUUAAACAAUAUCAGUCCAAAAAGGUACACAAAAGGGUGGCCUCUAGUACACUGGUACAGCUCUCAACCUCUCCAAAAUAAAAAUAUCGAGAGGUAAACAAACUAUCAAGUCGUCCCUCACAGAAGAGCUAGCUCGAAGCAACGCCCUUCCCGCGGUCCCUAGCUUCUACCGGCGUGGAAGGCUCUGAAAGAAAACAUAAAACAGAGGGCGUAAGAACUAUAAUUUAUAGUUCCCAGUGGGCAAUUACUGACCUCAGCUCAAUGCACCACUAGACCCCAAAGAAAGGGUAAGUCAAAAAAAAGAGCAAUAAUAAUGAAUAAUUUGCAUUUAAGAAGGCAUAAUUAAAAUGCUAAGAUACUACAUUGUCUCAAUUAAGAUGCACCUUUAAUUCAUAAUGAACAAGUAUGUCCCUACAUGACCACAAGUAACAAUCAUAAUUUGUUUUAUGAAUUUAUGAAGAUCAUGCUUUACUAUAGUAAACAAUGUUUACAUGAAUGCAAUGAACAACAUCUCCUAGCAUGCUACAUGUAUGUAUGUAUACUCAAGUGUCCAACACUAUGCUAGAAGCAAAUCUAAAUAAUCCAACUACUACUCUCUAUCUAGUAGUGAUCAUAACACACUCAAUACUGUGUCGAUUUCCAUUUUCAAUUAAGGACCUACCCAAGGUAGUCUAGCUUGCGCCGCCUAAGUGCCUGUGGUAGCCCAACAUUCCUACUCUUGGAAUGUGUCUGUCCCACUCGACCCCGUAGGCUUCUCAAUACCGCACGAGCGAACAUAGGUCGCGUAGACUAACUCCGGAGUGCCGGCUUGUAGGGAGUGACCCUCACAAGUAUGUGCGAAUGAGCACAAUUGGCAAGCAAGGGUAGUCAAAGGCUCAAAUAUCCAACCCUCAUGUCUCAAACAUGGCAAUAGCUACCAGUAACCCAACGGUCUAGCUCUAUGUCACAAUGUGAUAUCCAACACUCACUUCCUUAGUGCCUCUUUAUGACACUUAAGCAUCACAACUAAUCAAGCCCAAUUCAUAUUCUAUGUUCCAAUUAAGACAUAAAUACCAAUGUUCACUAUAGCCCGGGCCCAAUGCCUCUUUAUGACAUUGGCCCAAUUUUUCAAAUAGUCUAAGUCCCCAAGCCUCUCUAGGCUUCCAAAGUCCCUAAUGUCACAAUUGGGCAAAAAGGUUAAAUGCAUAAAAGCAAUGUUCAUUUUCAUAAUAGGAAUCAUGGUUCCAAGUCUUGACUAGAAUGCUAUAUCUUACAUGCAUGCACUCUACCACAUAGAGAUCCAAAAAUUUACUAUACAUUAUAUAGGCAUGUUAAGCAUUCUAAAAUUCAUAAUAAAUAUAUCUAACAUGAUUACGCAUGUUUUAUCAUUUAACGAUACUCAAAUCAUCACAAAUGAGAUUUUCUCAUUGUGUGGCUAGGUCAAACCCACCGAACUGUCGCGCAGUCCUUCGUUUCGCCGAACGGAGUUGUCCACGCGUCUCAAAAUACCCUAAAAGUAUUGAGCAAAGAGAUACACGGGCAUUUUGAUCAACUAUGAGAUCAAACAUUAACCAACAAGUCAAAAGGGCUAAAAUCUCACCUAGAGUGGAGAAAACUCUCACAAGCUCCAAAAGAAGGUUAGAAUCCUUCCAAUCCAACCCAAAGGAGGGUUCUAAUCCAAAUAAUUUUGCCCCAAAAGCCCUAGAUCAAAAAUGCCCAAAAUAAGCCCUAGGUUCCCAAUCUAGGGUUUCAUCUCAAAACCAUCAAUAAAAUUCCAAUCUAGAGAGAGAGAACAAGCUGCUUACCUCUUAGAAGCUUCAAUCUAGGCUCUAAGCCCUCUAACAUCAAAGAUCUUCCCUCAACAAGGCUCCAAAUUCAAGCUUCAAGCUUCAACAAUGGUGAAGUUGCACCAAAGAGCAAAAAGAAAAAUUUAAUCUCUUAAAAUCCCACCAAAAUCCAAGAAUAAUCAAAGAAAAAUCAAGGAGGGCUCCUUUACCUCUAUUCCUGCUGUGGCAAGCUCAGGAGAAAGCCCUAGGGGCGUGGGUGCUAAUAUAGACAAGCCACAAUGCAAAAACACCCCUGCAGUUUUGACCAUUCAAAAUCUGUCACUGCGUAUCGGUACACGGGCCCACGUACCGGUACACAUCCUACGAAAUAGCCAAACCCGAGCCUCGGGUUGGCUGAGAAGCAGCCAAUGUUGAUGGCUGUACCGGUACGUACAGCCAUCACACCGUACCGGUACACAGCCCUCUGAAGGCUACCCGAGAGCUAACCAAAAAUCCGAUUUUUCGGGUUUUGGUGCUAGGCUUUAAACCUCACUUUUUGGGGUUCGAACCAUAGGUCGGAACACUGUCAACGACCCACCAGAAAGUCUGGAAAAGGUUAGGACACAUCCAAUCACUCGAACCUCGCAAUUUGCAAAGGUCCAGUGUGCUACAGACGUUAACCUUUCCUUUAGCUCCUCGAAGCUCCGCUCACAUUCGAGGCUCCAAACAUACUUCAACCCUUUAUGGGUAAGGCGCGUUAGUGGAGUAGUUAUUUUGGCAAACCCCUCCACGAACCGUUGGUAGUAGCCCGCGAGUCCAAGAAAGCUACGAAUCUCCGCUACACUUGUCGGGCGAGGCCAAUCUUUAAUUGCCUCAACUUUUUCGGGUCUACCGAGAUGCCAUCCCCGGAUAUAAUAUGACCUAAGAAAGUAACCUUCGAAAGCCAAAAUUCACACUUCUUUAAUUUUGCAUAUAGCUUUUCCUUUCGGAGUGUCUCCAAUAAGAUCCUCAAAUGCUCCUCGUGUUCUUCCUCGGUCCGAGAAUAUACCAAUACGUCGUCAAUGAAUACCAUGACGCACCGGUCCAAUAGCGGACGGAAGACUCGAUUCAUCAAGUCCAUAAAGAAUGUCGGGGCAUUAGUAAGCCCAAAUGGCAUAACCGUGAACUCGUAGUGGCCAUACCGCGUACGAUACGCCGUUUUGUGCACAUCCUUGGGCCGUAUCUUCAACUGAUGAUACCCCGAUUGAAGGUCGAUCUUUGAAUAUACCCUUGACCCUUACAACUGAUCGAAUAAAUCGUCAAUCCUAGGCAACAGGUACUUGUUCUUGAUCAUCACUUUGUUCAACUCGCGAUAAUCAUCGCAAAGUCGAAGUGUGCCAUCCUUUUUCUUUACAAAUAGCACUGGAGCUCCCCACGGAGACACGCUCGGCCGUACAAAGCCUUUAUCGAGUAGGUCUUGUAACUGAACCUUCAACUCAUUAAGUUCCACCGGUGCCAUUCUAUAAGGAGCCUUCGAAAUUGGCACCGUCCCGGGAAUCAAAUCAAUGACAAACUCGACUUCCCGGUCCGGUGGCAAUCCCGGUAACUCCACAGGAAACACAUCCGGAAAUUCACACACCACUCGAAUGCUCCCCAAAUCCGGGUGCUCCUUUCGAGUAUCCACCAUUGUCGCCAAAUAGGCCACACAACCUCCUUUAAUCAUUUUCCUCUCCCUCGCCGCCGAUAUGGUCGCCGUGAAGCGCUUGCUUUUACAUGCCCGGUAUACUGACUCCUCUUGAUUUGGCUCACGAAAUGUGAUCACCCUGCUGUUGCAAUCAAUAACCGCAUAGUACUUGGAGAGCCAAUUGAUCCCCAUAAUGACAUCGAAUCCCCACAUUUGGUUUAACACCAAUAGGUCUAUCGACAUAAUCUAAUCACCGAUCUGUACUGGGCAAGCCAAGCACUCAUCAUGAACACGGAACGAAUGCUCUGGUGUACUUACUGACCAAUAGUCCUCGUUAUGCGUGAUCUCUAUGUCAUAAGUUUUCGCAAAUGAUGCACCAAUGAAUAAAUGAGAUGCACCUGUGUCAAAUAAUGCUCUAGCUCUAGUGCCUCUGAUAAGGAUAAUACCUGCCACCACGUCAUCUGGUACCGCCGGCUGCUCCUCCACCUGAGUGGCAAAUACCCGCCCACUAGGUGCUCGAGAGGCCUCCGACUGAUGAGGCGCUGAAGAACGUCCAGCAGACACAGCGGGUGGCAGUCCCGCCAACUGUUGCGGAGUAUACUGGACUGAAGCUGCUGACGGAGCAGGGGAUGUGCCGCCCGGGCACUCUCGGCCUAUGUGGCCAGCCUAGCCGCAUCGAAAACACCGCCCCUCCCGCUGAGGGCAAGUAGUAACUCGGUGGUCUCCGCCACAUAUCACGCACGAGUAGGUAGUCUGGCUCUGCGUCUGACUCCUGCCUCCCCGCCAUUGUGAUCGCUGAGACCGAGGGGGUCGUUUACAACUCGACUGCCCCGCGGAUCCACUAGCUGCCCUUUUCUUGGACUUAUCCCUUUCCUUAUCCUUUUCGAAUGCUUCGCGCUCCUCUCGCGCAACAGCAUUGCCGCGCUCUACCCAAAGCGCGCGGUCAAGUACCUCCUCAUAGGUCUUCAAGCAGAACGCAUGAAUAGUCUUGAAUAUUUCGGGUCGCAACCCGCCCUCAAAAGCCUUCGCUCGGUCCCUAUCGCCGUGAACCAAGCUCAGCACGCAGUUGAUUAGGUGCGUGAACUCCUUCUCGUACUCCCGCACCGACCGGCUACCUUGUCUUAACUUGCGAAAAUCCUUCUUGAUUUUUUGCUUGUCACUCUCGAGAAAAUACUCCAUCAAUAGCAUCUCCUGAAACGUCUCCCAAGUAAUGGAAGCGAGAUCCAACGAGCGACUUUUCUUCGCUUGUGUCCACCAUAGCCGCGCCGACCCCUUGAAGCAAUGGGCCGCAAGGUGAACCUUAUCCUUCUCAAGGGUGUAAAUAUCUUCGAACAACGCCUCUAUUAUGGCCAACCACGACUCCAUCAACCACGGAUCCUUCACAUCGCCGUUGAAGGUCGGAGGGUUGAAUCGCUUGAAGACCGUCAACACCGCCAAUGAUCGCUCAUUCUCGGCCUCAAGGACAUCGGGAAUAGGAGCCAAUGAACCCGAUGCCGUCGGGGGAAUAACCGUCACCGGUGCUGCGUUAUCAUCACCAUUGAAAGUCGGAGGGUUGAACCGCUUAAGGGCCGUCAACACCGCCAACGACCGCUCCUUCUCGGCCUCAAGUGCAUCGGGAAUAGGAGCCGAUGAAUCCGAAGCCGUCAGAGGAAUAACCGUCAAUGGUGCUGCCGCCGUCGCUGGAGGUGGUGCCGCAGGUGCAGGUGGAUCCUGAGGUACAGGUGCAGCCGCUGCCGCCUGUUGAGCCACCAACUCAUGAAGCCGUCCAAUCUGCUCCCCCUGUUGCCGCAUAGCCCCGGCCAAAGCCGCUACUUGGGCCCGCAGCUCGCGUACUUCAUCCGACCCCGUCUGCUUGAGCACCUCAGGAGGCGGUGCCGGUGCAGAUCGCGUACUAGGGCGUCCUCUUGGUGCCAUCACGUCCUGAAACGUAGCACACAUAUUAGUACUCGACACNAGCACCUCAGGAGGCGGUGCCGGUGCAGAUCGCGUACUAGGGCGUCCUCUUGGUGCCAUCACGUCCUGAAACGUAGCACACAUAUUAGUACUCGACACACUCGACACUUACACGUUCCAAUUAACUACCCAAUUAAGCGAAAGUAAUCAAGCAUAAUUUGUUUCCAACUCUCGGCGUCAUGUGGUCGGCCACCCCACACAAUUCCUUAAGCAGAAAAUAAUUAGACACUCGAAUUCAUCUCUAAUUCUUUUUAGAGAAGUAUUAACAUUAACCCAAUCCAUUAGCUUCUGCAUAUCCAAGUCCACGUUAAGUGUUUCCUAAGUCCCUAAGCUCUCCAAUCCUAAGGUCCCUAAGUCCAUCCUAGACUUUUGCUUUCACCAUGCUCUGAUACCAUUAUAUCUGUCACGCCUCGCUCCCCGCCAAUUUGGUCAGAUUCGGGUCACGUCAACAGACGCCGAACGGACAGAGCCUCCUCUGCCCUCCCAAGGCUCUAACAACAAGUAUAAUUAAGCAAUCAACCAAUGAGAUUUGCAAUUAUACAAGGCUUGCACGAGGGCAAGCAACAACGGAAGCGAAAGCUCUAAGCUACAACAUACAACCAUACAUAAUAUUUGAUUACAUUUCAACCAAAUACUAGUAAACUAAAACUAUUACAUCCACUUUCCUUUCAUGCGUAAUAUCUUUUACAUUUUGAUCAUUCAACCCGAAAAUAUAUGAAUGUUUACAACUUUUACAUCUCUAGAUCAACAAAAUAAAAGUUGAUACAUGAACCAAAAAGGGAAUGACUAGAUGCAAGUACUCCGGUGGCCACUAGCUAUGACGCAAUACCCUUGCCUCGAUCCUCCGCCGCCCUGCUCGCGCUCAGAUCUGUAGGGUUAGUGGUGUGAGAACUAUAACGAAGUUUCCAGUAGGUUCGGCAACCGACCUCGCCGACUUACCGACUAGGUUUAUUUAGGCAUAAGUAUUUCAAAGAAGAGAAAUAGUAACCAAUACUGAUGCUAAUACUAUGCCUGUAAGAAAACUAUCAGUGGAUAUAUAUAAUCAAAUAAAGAAUGAUUAUGCAUGCAUGCUUUUCCAUGAUUUUACUUUGGCUUUUAUCCAAUCUUACCAGUUAACCUUGUUAACCUCAAUAACUCACAACCCAAAAUUCCUUUCGUUCGGAGAGGCUCUAAGCACUACAAGACCCGAGGGGCCAUCUUCAGGGCCACUAUCCCCGUGGUGACUGUUCCGGAAGGCACCGCUUGAGGGGGAGUUACUUCCCUCAAGGCAAGACUUAUCGUGAGUAUCGAUCCAAUUCCCACUUAGGGAAUAUAUAGCCACUAGCCACAAUGCCACUAUCAUAAUAGGUUUCUACUUAUUUAUUCAUGUCACUCUCUAGGUCAUUCUUGUUAUAAUGCCACUAAUGGUUAAACUUUGUUUAACUAUCUUUUUCUUGAUGCCAAUCUUGUCUCUAUUGUCAAUGUCACCUUUGUUUACUAUUAUCAUAGUCUCGGUCUCACAUUCACACAAGUAUAGGGUUCCAACAUACAUGUCCGCUAUAGUUAUAUCAAUCUCAAUGUUCAUCUACAUUAGAAGCAUAUAAUUGAAGUCCAAUUAAUAUUCACAUGUAAUUUAUCCUAUCAUGCAUGAAUGACUAUUGACAUAAUGUUCAAUAAAAAGGUAAAAUAGACAUAGAAGGGAAUCCAACAAUUCCGGAAUACACCCCCCACCUCGAAUAGUAGCAAAGGAGUUGGGGUUCGAUUCUCGUGAUUUUUAGACUCCUACUCCGCGUGCUGCGGCGAUCUGCACCAAAAUAGAGCCAAAUUAAGCUUUUUAUUCAAUAUCUUUACAUAGUCUUUUCGUUUGGCCGAACUGAGCGCACCAACGCGUCGAAAAUACCCCUAAUUAGGUUUUCAUGAGGUCAAUUUAUCUCGAAAAUGAUCCGAGACAAAAGCUCCAAAUUUGGUGCCCUAACAAUGCCAUAUAUGGAUUUUCCCUAAAUUGAUCUUGUAUCUAAGCAAAUGCUAGCUUAGAAUUAAUUAGGAAUCUCUUUAAUAUCAUUUCUAAGCCAUUCGAAUCAUUCCUAGGACAUCUAACAUGAACCCUAGAAGUUCACCAUGAGAGCUCAUGAGAAACCAUGGAUUUCAUGGAUUUCAAGGCUCGUUCGACGUUUCUACGCUUGCUAGGAGUCCAAAACACCAAAACUUAGGGUGAAAAUCCAAACCCUAGAUGUGCUUUUUUGCCUUAAAACUCACCUUAGCCCAAGCUCUUCCAAAUCCUUCUUGUUGGAGAGCUCCUAGACCUUUCAAAACCCUCAAAAAUCUUUCUCCAAGCCUUCUUCUCCUUUCCUUUGCCUUGGUGCAAAGCUUCUAGAGAGAGAGGGAGAGAAAAUGAGAAGGAGAGAGAUCUCUUUGCUGCUGUGAGCAAAAGGGAGAGAUGGAGUCAUAUAUAGUGUGUCACAAUUGCAACUAGGCCCUCCAACGAUUCUUAUUUGCAACAGACUUCAAAGUUGCUGCCAGACCAAAGUGUACCAGUACACUUUCAUCUGUCACCGGUAACACGAUCGCGCAAAGGCAAACCCGAGAGCAACUCUCUCGGUUUCGUGGCAUUUGUACCGGUACAAAUCAUUUUGUGCCGAUACACUUCCAGCCAACCUCCAACCCGAGAGCUGCUUUCUCUCGGCCUGCAAUGUUGUACCAAUACAACAUUAAAGUUGUACCGGUACAAAUUGCCCAGAAUGCAGUUUUAGCUUUUGCUAGACUUCUCUUCGCACCGAGCAAUGCUAAAACUCUCCAAACUCCUUUAAAACUCAUUUUUAACCCUUCCAACAUUGUUGGAAUGCUAAAUGGAAUUUUCCAACUAUUUCUCUCGACAACUUUAACCAAUUUGAGUAAAGUUCGAUAAUCGCUCUCGAGGUUUCAAUAUGUUACAAGUAGAGCUGGCUUAUGAUUACAUAUGAGAUUUGUGACCUAGUCGAUCGGUUCUUGUAUCUUGUACUGUGACCUAUUCGGUCGGUUUACUGCAUCUGUUAUCGUGAUCUACUUGGUCGGUUGGACUACUUAGUGACCUACACGGUCGGUAUACCCUGAGGAGUAGGAUUGUCGGCUAAUUGCCGAUGGUUGGCUAUUGAGCAUAUUAGCAUCUAUCGCCACUGCUCGUAUGCAUUUCAUGAACACCAGCGAUUUGAUCCAUCGCAAGAGGGUGUUCUUUUCCAAAAAAGUGGUUGGGAUUGCCAGUUCGUGAGCCCAAGAGCUUAUGGUGGGGUUAUAAGCUUUCAAACCCAAGAGCUUAUGCUGGGGUCAUAUACCUUUCAGACCCAAGAGCUUAUACUCGGGUCAUUUACAGUUUAGAGCAGUUGUGGCACAGGCCCGAGGUCUACGGACCGAUAGGGCAGGUUUCAGAUUGGGUAUUUUGGACUUAUCGUCUGGUUGAUGCAUACAUACAGGAGCGGUAAUUAUUCAUUUGUACAUCUUGUUCCUUUAUUUAUCGUUGCUACUGUAUUAUCCUUACCCAUACCUUUGUUUAUUCUCUUUGACUGGUGAGUACCCCUGGCCCUCGUCGGCUUGCGGUACUCACUGGAAGGGGAGACAUGUGUACAUGUUCUUACCCCCUAGCCCCUUUAAGGUGACAUCACGGCUCCGAGUGGGGACGAUUCAUGAGGUGCGCAGCUUAGCAUUCGAUAGAUCCAUCGGCCCAUUACUUUGGUUAAAUUCUCAAACUUGUCUUUUAAAUAAUUUAUUUAGACUUAUUGGUUUAGUGGUUUCCUUUAUUUGAAUAAUGAGGAUUUUGUGAAUGUAACAAAGGAUUUAUGGAUUUCUUAUGAAAUGGAAAUGGUUUUCUAUCCCUCGUGGUAGCGCGUUUUUAGAAGGAAAAGGUUUCCGCGUGGGAAACGAUUUUAAAAAGGUUUUCGUAGUUUCAUGAUUCUUAGUGUUUUAAAACAAGUUUCCGGGUAGGAACCAUUUUAAACUCAUCGAUGUGAAUAUGUGAAUAUCUGUGAUGAAAUGAAUGGUAAUUGUGAUGUGGUUUAUGUAUGAGGAUGUUCAUACAGUUAUGGUUGAUCUUGUACUUGUGCAACGCCGUGUAAAUAUAAGAAAGACUCUGUCCGUGUGAACAGUGAAUUCUCUAUAUUUGUGGCGGAUCUGGCAUACCCUGCGAUCAAGGUUUUUCCAAAAAAAAAAAAAAAAAAUUGGACACUUCCGUAUGGAUUUUUAAAUCAAAAAGGGACUCCGGGGCGUGACACAUCUCCAACUACAACCUAUGUGGAAAAAGAUCAUCAGGGAACUACUAGCAGUCACAUAUAAAAUAAAUCUCCAACUGCAUAAAACAUCAAAAUUUCAUUAGUGAACUCCUUUUUGCUCAGAGUGAGGCUUACAGUUUAACAUCCCCAAAAAUAUCAGCAAAUGUUGCAACUGGAUAUUCAGUGACCAUUCCUUCAAGCCAAUCUGUAAAUAGAAAGAAAAAUGUGUAUUAGUAAGCAUUUAAAAUUGCCUUGAAAAGCAAACAUAUAUUAUCUGAAUAUUAAAGGUUUGCCCUUGUUGUUCAAGCUAGGGCCAAGAACAUCCUACAGUCUAUCGUAACCCUGAAAUAGUUUAGCUAUAGAAUAGAUAGAAAUCCACACAAGAAAUUCAUCCUUUUAUAGAAACUUUGAAUCCCAAAGAAAUUUCUACAUAGUUACAUGAUAUCAAGAAAAUACACAAUUUAAAAGAAGAGAAUAAAUAAUAGAAACAUAAAAUACCACGACGAAGACCAAAUUAGAAUUUGAUCGAGAAUCACACAAACGUACGUUUUCCAAGCACACUAGGUUAAUGAACAAAGAUGGAAUAAAAUAGAAGGCAUACAAGUUGUGCAUUUUGCAUACCCCACUAGGUUAAUUCACAAAAUGAUAUUUAAUAAAAGGAACGUGGAUUAGAACUGCAAGCCCGUAAAGUUUGAGUAUAUAUAAACUAGACUAGACAUUCUAAAUACUAUAUAGAGCCUAUAAUACAUCAAACUACAUUGUUUCCAUCAGUAUCUUUUCUAGCCCAACUUAUACAGUCAUUUAAUUCAUCAGUAACAAUAACAUCGCAUGACAUGCACUGAGUGUAAGUUUUAGUGUCAUCCUGCAAAUGUGCUCUCAUAUUGUAUAAGUCUCUUGGUUUUGUCAUGACAACUUGAGACCAUUCCUCAUAUUUGGGGUCUUGUAUAUAGAAUACUUAUUUUGCUUGAGAUGAAAAUACAAUUGGAUCAUCUUUCAAUAAUCGUCCCUUGUAUAUCAACUUGGAAAAGUUCACAAGAGUACAUCCAUUUGUGUCUUUUUUUAAUCCUUUUUGCGAUGUGAUAUCCGCCCAAUCACAACAAAAUAAGACAACCUUAAAAUUCCCAUAAUAAUCAAGUUCAAUAAUAUCUGUAAGUACACCAUAGUAAGCCUGUCCCUAUGCUUCAACCAUAACUCCAGAAUUUUGAGUUUUUCUUAACAUUUCAUGAUCCUUUGUGUGGAAUCUAAACUCAUUAAUAAUGAAACCACUAAAUUUUUUUACAACGUUGUUUGGACUCCGUACAAUUGCUAUAAUUUAAUCUGCGCACUUACUCUCUGUCAUUUUUGGUACCUAAAAAAAAUAAAAUAAUCAAGUCACAUAAUCAUCUCUAAGAAGUCAUUUUUGGCACCUUAAAAUUAUACAUAAUUUGUUGAUUUAAUGGUUAUACCUGCCCAAAGAGUGACAACUUCAGAUAUUCUGUUUUUAUGUUUCGUACUGAAACAUAACUUCAGAUAUUAGAAUUACAUACUGAAAUCCUCUUGGAUGUUUCACAUUUGGACAUAGUUCAGGGGCUGAAUAGUAGGGCUGGCAAAUGAGCGAGCCGGCUCGUGUUCGACUCGCGUUCGGCUCAAUAUUCGGCUCGCUCGAGCUCGGCUCGAAUUAAUUUCAAGUCGAGCUUGAGCCUAAAUUUAGGCUCGAAAUUAAUUUCAAGCUUGAGUGUUAUCGGGCUUGCUCGAAUUAGGCUCGAAAAGCUCGAAAUAUAUAUAUAUAUAUAUAUAUAUAUAUAUAUAUAUCACGGGGCAAGAUUGGACCUAUAUAUUUUAGCCAAGAAUAAAUAGGCAACAAUUCCAUAGUGAGGAAUCAAGCUUCAAGUAGGUAGGCGAAUAGUAAGUAUCCACAUGCAACUUUGAUUUUAGCCUGUAAUUAGUCAACGCGAGCCCUUCUCUGGUUUUUAAAUCACCAUCAUGCGGCGUUAAUUGGUAUCCUUUGACCUGGCAUUGGUCAUCUCGACGCCGAUGCGGACGUCCUUGUCGGCAACGAACCGGCUCCAGAACCAGUGUUCCUUCCAUACUAGGACCAUCUCUUCGAUGGGCACGCUCUUGGUCUCCGGGAGNAUAUAUAUAUAUAUAUAUAUAGGCUAGGGCUACUAUAUUCUUAUGAGUAUAGACCCCUUUAUACUUAUAAAUUUUUUGCCAUUGGAUGUGCAAUUAGGAUAAUAGUGGUCCCCUAGGAUUGAGUGGAUGGUUGGUUGAAUAGUAUGAUUUACGGAUGGAAAUAGUCAAAAGUAUAUAGAUCUAACGAUAAAAAACUUAUGAAUAUUAUCCUCCACACAUCCCUUCAUCUAAGGGUCGAAAACUUAAUAGCAAGUAGUUGAUACUAUUAAUAAUAUUGUAACAUAUAUAUAUAUAUAUAUAUAUAUAUAUAGGCUAGGGCUACUAUAUUCUUAUGAGUAUAGACCCCUUUAUACUUAUAAAUUUUUUGCCAUUGGAUGUGCAAUUAGGAUAAUAGUGGUCCCCUAGGAUUGAGUGGAUGGUUGGUUGAAUAGUAUGAUUUACGGAUGGAAAUAGUCAAAAGUAUAUAGAUCUAACGAUAAAAAACUUAUGAAUAUAAAGGGGUCUAUACUAAUAGAGUAUAGUAGCCGAACUCUCUCUAUAUAUAAUUAUAUAUAGGGAUAAUUUCAUAGAUGUCCUUCCAGGAACUAUUAAUUUCAUCAAUGUCCUUCUAAAAUCGAUAAUUUCAUGAAUGCCCUCCAAUAUAUCAAAAAUUAUCAUAUAUGCCCUUCACUAGUUAAGUUCUGUCAAAGUCCCUUUAAAAUGGAGUUAUAUUUUUAAAAUACCAUUUUUACCCUUUAUCUCUCAUCAACAGUACAAAUACUAAUAGAUAUUUCAAGACAAUUUCUGUAAACCUAAAUUUAAUUAUUCAAUAUAUGAAAUAUUAAAUUAAAUUAUUAAUAUAUAUUUAUUUUUAAAAAAUAUAUAAAAAUUGUAUUUUAUAUAUAGUAUGUUUUUAUAUGAUUUUAGUUUUAUUUUCGGCUUCGGAUUUCGGUUCAGAUUUGGUUUAGAUAUAAAUUAAAACCAUAACUGAGUUUGAAUAUAAUGUGAUUUUAUUUUUUUUGUAAUUUUAACUGAAAUUAUCCGUACUCAGCAUCGAUUAAGCUCACCCCAUAAAAUCGAGUUCAGAUAAAAUUAUGUACCUAUAUCAAUUCAUAUUCCUAAUCAGUAAUAGUAAUUUUGAAAUAAAAGAUAGGUUUAAUUUUUUUUCCUAUUUAAUAAAAAAUAAAUCAAAUA